UAACACAUGCAAGUCGAGGGGCAGCACAGGUAGCAAUACCGGGUGGCGACCGGCGCACGGGUGAGUAACGCGUAUGCAACUUGCCUAUCAGAGGGGGAUAACCCGGCGAAAGUCGGACUAAUACCGCAUGAAGCAGGGGCCCCGCAUGGGGAUAUUUGCUAAAGAUUCAUCGCUGAUAGAUAGGCAUGCGUUCCAUUAGGCAGUUGGCGGGGUAACGGCCCACCAAACCGACGAUGGAUAGGGGUUCUGAGAGGAAGGUCCCCCACAUUGGUACUGAGACACGGACCAAACUCCUACGGGAGGCAGCAGUGAGGAAUAUUGGUCAAUGGGCGUAAGCCUGAACCAGCCAAGUCGCGUGAGGGAUGAAGGUUCUAUGGAUCGUAAACCUCUUUUAUAAGGGAAUAAAGUGCGGGACGUGUCCCGUUUUGUAUGUACCUUAUGAAUAAGGAUCGGCUAACUCCGUGCCAGCAGCCGCGGUAAUACGGAGGAUCCGAGCGUUAUCCGGAUUUAUUGGGUUUAAAGGGUGCGUAGGCGGCCUUUUAAGUCAGCGGUGAAAGUCUGUGGCUCAACCAUAGAAUUGCCGUUGAAACUGGGGGGCUUGAGUAUGUUUGAGGCAGGCGGAAUGCGUGGUGUAGCGGUGAAAUGCAUAGAUAUCACGCAGAACCCCGAUUGCGAAGGCAGCCUGCCAAGCCAUUACUGACGCUGAUGCACGAAAGCGUGGGGAUCAAACAGGAUUAGAUACCCUGGUAGUCCACGCAGUAAACGAUGAUCACUAGCUGUUUGCGAUACACUGUAAGCGGCACAGCGAAAGCGUUAAGUGAUCCACCUGGGGAGUACGCCGGCAACGGUGAAACUCAAAGGAAUUGACGGGGGCCCGCACAAGCGGAGGAACAUGUGGUUUAAUUCGAUGAUACGCGAGGAACCUUACCCGGGUUUGAACGCAUUCGGACCGAGGUGGAAACACCUUUUCUAGCAAUAGCCGUUUGCGAGGUGCUGCAUGGUUGUCGUCAGCUCGUGCCGUGAGGUGUCGGCUUAAGUGCCAUAACGAGCGCAACCCUUGCCACUAGUUACUAACAGGUAAAGCUGAGGACUCUGGUGGGACUGCCAGCGUAAGCUGCGAGGAAGGCGGGGAUGACGUCAAAUCAGCACGGCCCUUACAUCCGGGGCGACACACGUGUUACAAUGGCGUGGACAAAGGGAAGCCACCUGGCGACAGGGAGCGAAUCCCCAAACCACGUCUCAGUUCGGAUCGGAGUCUGCAACCCGACUCCGUGAAGCUGGAUUCGCUAGUAAUCGCGCAUCAGCCAUGGCGCGGUGAAUACGUUCCCGGGCCUUGUACACACCGCCCGUCAAGCCAUGGGAGCCGGGGGUACCUGAAGUCCGUAACCGAAAGGAUCGGCCUAGGGUAAAACUGGUGACUGGGGCUAA
rnacentral:rRNA from 1 species